CUCCAUGUGUAGCGGUGAAAUGCGUAGAUAUAUGGAAGAACACCAGUGGCGAAAGCGGCUCUCUGGUCUGUAACUGACGCUGAGGUUCGAAAGCGUGGGUAGCAAACAGGAUUAGAUACCCUGGUAGUCCACGCCGUAAACGAUGAGUGCUAAGUGUUGGAGGGUUUCCGCCCUUCAGUGCUGCAGCUAACGCAUUAAGCACUCCGCCUGGGGAGUACGGUCGCAAGACUGAAACUCAAAGGAAUUGACGGGGGCCCGCACAAGCGGUGGAGCAUGUGGUUUAAUUCGAAGCAACGCGAAGAACCUUACCAGGCCUUGACAUCUUCUGACAAUUCCAGAGAUGGAACGUUCCCUUCGGGGACAGAAUGAC
rnacentral:rRNA from 1 species